rnacentral:tRNA from 1 species
UGUCCACGAUCGACGGAUUACCGGUCCAUGCGCUGCUGGUGCAUGUGAUCGUCGUGCUGGUACCGCUGACGGCCGUGCUUGCCGGCCUGUGCGCGG